rnacentral:rRNA from 1 species
AUUGAACGCUGGCGGCAUGCUUUACACAUGCAAGUCGAACGGGCUGGGGGCAACUCCAGUCAGUGGCGAACGGGUGAGUAAUGCAUCGGAACGUGCCUCGUAGUGGGGGGAUAACUCGGCGAAAGCCGUGCUAAUACCGCAUAUGCUCUACGGAGGAAAGUGGGGGACCGCAAGGCCUCACGCUAUGAGAGCGGCCGAUGUCCGAUUAGCUUGUUGGUGGGGAAUGGCCUACCAAGGCGACGAUCGGUAGCUGGUCUGAGAGGAUGAUCAGCCACACUGGGACUGAGACACGGCCCAGACUCCUACGGGAGGCAGCAGUGGGGAAUUUUGGACAAUGGGGGCAACCUGAUCCAGCCAUGCCGCGUGCGGGAAGAAGGCCUGGUG